rnacentral:misc_RNA from 1 species
GAUGAAGAACGUAGCGAAAUGCGAUAAGUAAUGUGAAUUGCAGAAUUCCGUGAAUCAUCGAAUCUUUGAACGCACAUUGCGCCCCCUGGUAUUCCGGGGGGCAUGCCUGUCCGAGCGUCAUUGCAACCCUCAAGCGCGGCUUGUGUGUUGGGCUUCGUCCCCCCGUGGACGUGCCCGAAAGGCAGUGGCGGCGUCCCGAAUGGUGCCCGAGCGUAUGGGAACUCUCUUCCGCUCGAACCGGCCCAUUCGGCGCUGGUCGAACCCCAAUUUUUUUUUACCGGUUGACCUCGGAUCAGGUAGGGAUACCCGCUGAACUUAAGCAUAUCAAUAAGCGGAGA